GCCAGGUCCCUGCUUUUGACUAGCGGGGUGUGCAGCCUCAUUAGGCAGACAUCUGGUCUGUGUCACCAGUCUGCUGAUGGAGACUGGUGUCUCCCCCCACAGCAGGGAACAAGGUCAGGACGCCUGGAUCCCCCACCCUACCCACUCCACAAUCCAGGCAUCUCUGAGCCUCACAUUUCGGGUCUGUGAAAUGACACCCCUUCCAGCUUCAAAACUCUAUGAGUCUCUGAUUUCUGAGCAGUUUACAGCUGUCCUGACCUGCUAGCAGGGCCCAGAAUCGGCCCGGGACAAAGGUGCCCAGUGGUCACCUCCACCCUCUGGGGUGCUGACAUGUAAAUAAAACUGGGCUUCCUCUUGUCACCGAGGAAGGCCAUGCAUUAUAAAUAAAUGGAAGAAGAGCAAAGGGCCGGCUCUCAGGAACCCCUGGUGACAUUCCAGGGCUCGCAGUCCAGGGGUUAAUAGGAAAAUCAUCGUCGCCAGAAACUUUGGGCCUCACCCAGGCCCCAGAAAAAAUGCUGUGUCAGCAAAGCUGUCCCAAAGGAAUGUUGGGGGCAGGAGGCUUCUCGGCUCCUGGCAUUUUUAAUACCUGGGGAGAGGGCUGAUUGGGAAAACUGUAAAGGGCGACAUCUGUUUAAUUGUGUGCUUCCACAGUUAAAGAAGGCCUGUCAGUGCCACUCAGGCCAAGAGGCUGCUGGGGAAACAGGGCCGGGCUCAGGACCUCCGGGCUGCUGUCCAGUUAGAUAUGGGUCCCUGGGGCGGGGCACACGCGGCCCUCCUGCUGCACAUGCCUCUGGGACUCAUCUUCAGGGUCUUGGCCACAGCGUCACCCUGAGCGGCCUCCCUGCCUUCCUCCAUCUCGGCUCCUGGGCACGCAUGGGAGUUGGCGUGGAUUUCCUUUAUUUUCCUGUCUACUGUCCCUGCCCGCCCCGCCCUCCCCCACCAGUAUCCACCCCACACACACACCUAGUGGCCUGCCUCACUCGCUGUGUAUCCGGGGCCCGGCUCAGUGCCUGGGUCCCUGUCCUGUUCCACCCCCUUGCCAGCCGUGUGAGCCUUGGGCAGACCUCUUGGCCAACUAAGCCUCAGUUUCCCGCUCUGUGCAAUGGGGUUGUGAUCCCUGCCCCACAGGAUGUUUGCAUGUGGAUUGAAUGAGGCAGAGAGAACAAUGCCCCAGGCAUAGGGGUGACCGAGGAUGUGACUGACCCUCCCUCCAGCCAGUGGUUGAGGAGGUUCUCCUGCUGCCUGUCCUGCCCCAGGGUGAGGGGCACUGUGGAAAGUCCCCUGGAACAUGUCUUGGGAGCAGGAAGCAGGAAGGAUGAACCGAGAUGAUCUCAGCAAACCACAGCCUCUGCCCCAGACGUAACCGUGGCGUCUGUGCACACGGGUUGGGUGUCAGGCACACACCGGGACCUACGCUUUCCAGGGGCCAACCGGCAAACCUGUAUAACAAGCCCAUGAGGUAGGUUCCAUUAUACCCCAGCUCACAGUGAGGAGACCGAGUCACAGAGAAGGGAAGUCACUGGCCCAAGGUCACACGGUGCAGCUGGGCCAGCACCUGGCAGUGUGACUCCGUCACCCCCGGGCUUUUCCCCAAAUCCUGAGACACAGCUUGUUAGGACAGGAACGGCCUCGUCCACCCUCUCCUUACGUGUGUCCCUAAGGAAACUGAGGUUCCUGUCUGGACACAAAACGGCUGAGUUCGUGCCAAAAGAUGAGAAAUGCCAGGGUGUGUUUGCAUUAACGUCAUGUGCCGACAUAGACUCGAUGUCCCUUUUCUAACGGAAAUGUGCAAAAGGCUCAAACUGGGCAGAGCCAUCCAAGCAUCCCUGCCAAGCGCUGCCGGAGCCACCGCCUCCCUGUCCCAGCAGGGCCACCUCCCAGCUCCCCUCCAGGCCCUCCAAGCCUCACUGCUCGGCCCUGCUCUCCGUCUUCAA